rnacentral:lncRNA from 1 species
GACUGAAGAGUGGAGAGGAGAUGCAAGGCCCUUGGAGACAACCUAGCGGUCACCAGCCCUUUGUGUCUUGGCUGAGUGAAGCAGAUUUAUUCCGGGACUGCAGAGCAGAGGACCAGCAGAGGGGGAGCCUUUCGUGUCCCACAGACAACUUGUUGGGUCUCAGGUCGGGGAGGUGGGCACUUCUCAUCCUCAGCUUCCCCAAAUGGUGCGCGUGGAGCCAUCUGGUGGCCUGGGAGACUGACAGGAGGCUCGGCCUCCCUGGUGGAGAAGCAGGUGUCUCCAGAGCUCCAGCAGGUCCUCGCGUUCUCUGUCCCAUACGGGCCGCGUCUCCCGCCAGAAUCCCCGUCUCAGACCCGAGGGGCAGUGCGCAGAGCAUGAAGAUGGCACUGGAGGUCUUUCUUAGGAGCUGGCACAGAUCAGAGGUCAGUCUGUCUACACGCUGCGAACGGCCCCCCGUGGCCUCUGUCACGUCUCUAAGGACCGUCACAGCCCGGCCCCGAGUGACACAACAGGAAUCCUCACCCAGAUGCCCCUCGCCGACGCUGAAAACCAGCACAGCCCUGCACUCAAGGCACCCGCAGGCAGGCAGGCGAGGAAGAGGCCGGUGCCCAAGGAGGAGACACUGAAGGAGGACAAGGCAGAGACAGAGCUAAGC